rnacentral:lncRNA from 1 species
CUACACCUGGUUUCUAUGUGCUAUUUUUGGCUGUGGAUGGGCAUAAAAAUGAGAAAAAAUUGAUAGAAAAAAUCUAGAAAAAGAUAAGGAAAAGAGGAAGAGAAAAAUAGAAAGGAAAGUAUGAGAGAAAAGGAAAGUAUGAGAUACUUGUCCUAAAAAUCAGAUUGUUCAUGUGUUGAACAUAAAAUCUGAUUUAUGUGUGGU